GGGGCCGACCUGGUUUUGACAGCGGCCGAGUGAUGUGUGUAAGCAGGUCGAGCGUGAGGUGCGGCUCGUCAUCCCAGUGCCUCAAUGCCAUAACUGGCAACGUCGACUACGCGCUCGCAGCCUAAUGGCCUCAGGCCAACGGCUUCAUCCACGUGAACAACAGUAGCGUGGACGAGUGCCCCUCGGGGAGGUCCGUCCUUCGCUUUCCCGGUACAGGGGUAUCAUCCUGAAGGGCUGGCCCGCGCUGUGGUCCGGUGCGCGGGUGAGACACAGGACCUAAGCCACCGCUGGGGUGCCCUUCCCCAGGCGGCGGUCGAAAACCAACGAAGCGGCUGAACCUGGAGAAAGCGCACGUCACGGACGUUUGGACGAGGGUUCGAAUCCCUCCGGCUCCACC
rnacentral:tmRNA from 1 species